GUCUAUUUGGGGAUAUAUAUAGUCUGGCCUGCUCACUGAUAAGUUUAUUUAAGAGCCGCGGUAUUUUGACCGUGCAAAGGUAGCAUAAUCAUUAGGGGCCUAAUUGGAAUCUGGUAUGAAGGGUUGGACAAAGAAGAAACUGUCUCUAAAUUAUAAGUUGAAAUUUACUUUUAAGUGAAAAGGCUUAAAUGCUUCAAAGGGACGAUAAGACCCUAUAAAGCUUUAUAAACUGUUUAAACUUAAUUAAUUUAAAAAUAAAGAUUAAAUUUAACUAGUUUAUUCUGUUGGGGUGAUAUGAGUAUAAGUUUUAUUAACUGCUUAAGAGAGAUACAAGUAUAAGUGAGUGAGAAAUAUAUGAUCCUUUUUAAAGAUUAAAAGACUAAGUUACUUUAGGGAUAACAGCGUUAUUUCUUUUGAGAGUUCAUAUCGAAAAAGAAGAUUGCGACCUCGAUGUUGAAUUAAAANANNNAUAUAAUGUAGCCGUUAUAAAAGAAGGUCUGUUCGACCUUUAAAUUUC
rnacentral:rRNA from 1 species